GGAAGUGGAUAGCUCUCUGGUGAUGCUCCCGGACUUCAAAUCCGGUGCGGGGGGUUAGUAGCCUCUCGGGUGGGUUCGAUUCCCAUGCACUUCCGCCA
rnacentral:tRNA from 1 species